UACGGAGGGUGCGAGCGUUGUCCGGAAUCACUGGGCGUAAAGGGCGCGUAGGUGGCGACCCAAGUCCAUGGUGAAAGCUCGAUGCUCAACAUCGAGUCGGCCACGGAUACUGGGUUGCUCGAGCACUGUAGAGGCUAAUGGAAUUCCGGGUGUAGCGGUGGAAUGCGUAGAGAUCCGGAAGAACACCGGUGGCGAAGGCGGUUAGCUGGGCAGUUGCUGACACUGAGGCGCGACAGCGUGGGGAGCAAACAGG
rnacentral:rRNA from 1 species